GCCUGGGUAGCUCAGUUGGUAGUCCAGACCUUUAAUCUGAGGGUUGUGGUUUCGAGUCCACAUUCAGGCC